rnacentral:rRNA from 1 species
AACGAACGCUGGCGGCAUGCCUAACACAUGCAAGUCGAACGAGACCUUCGGGUCUAGUGGCGCACGGGUGCGUAACGCGUGGGAAUCUGCCCUUGGGUUCGGAAUAACUCAGAGAAAUUUGAGCUAAUACCGGAUGAUGACGUAAGUCCAAAGAUUUAUCGCCCAAGGAUGAGCCCGCGUAAGAUUAGGUAGUUGGUGGGGUAAAAGCCUACCAAGCCGACGAUCUUUAGCUGGUCUGAGAGGAUGAUCAGCCACACUGGGACUGAGACACGGCCCGGCCUACUACGGGAGGCAGCAGUGCGGAAUAUUGGACAAUGGGCGAAAGUCUGAUCCAGCAAUGCCGCGUUAGUUAUGAAGGCCCUAGCGUUGUAAAGCUCUUUUACCCGUGAUGCUAAUGACAGUACCGGAAGAAUGAGCCCCGGCUAACUCUGUGCCAGCCGCCGCCGUAA